rnacentral:rRNA from 1 species
UUCUAUAAAAAACUUUUUAUAGUAGUACCUGCUCUAUGUUAAUUUAUAAAUGGCCGCAGUAUCUUGACUGUGCGAAGGUAGCAUAAUUAAUUGCCUUAUAAUUGAAGGCUUGUUUGAAUGGUUUGACGUGAUAAUAAUGAAUAUUUUAUUUAUUUUUGAAAUUUAUUUAGAGGGUACAGAAUCCUCUAAUUUUAAUUAGACGGAAAGACCCCAGGAUCUUUUAAUUUUGUCUGGGGCAGAUAUUUUUAUUUCAAAACAAUUAUGACCCUUAAAGGUUUAGUGAUUUAAGUUACCCUGGGGAUAACAGUGUAAUAGUUUAUUAGAGUUCUUAUCGAUUAAACUGCUUGCUACCUCGAUGUUGACUUAGGUAAAUAAGCUGGGCGUAGCCGUUUAGCUUUUUGGUCUGUUCGACCAAUUGUACCUCC